rnacentral:rRNA from 1 species
UACGUAGGGUGCAAGCGUUAAUCGGAAUUACUGGGCGUAAAGCGUGCGCAGGCGGUCUGUUAAGAGAGAUGUGAAAUCCCCGGGCUUAACCUGGGAACUGCGUUUCUAACUGGCAGGCUAGAGUGUGGCAGAGGGGGGUGGAAUUCCACGUGUAGCAGUGAAAUGCGUAGAGAUGUGGAGGAACACCGAUGGCGAAGGCAGCCCCCUGGGCUAACACUGACGCUCAUGCACGAAAGCGUGGGGAGCAAACAGG